CAGGGAAUAGUUUAAUUAGAAUUUCAGCUUUGGGUGUUGAAGGUGAAGCUUGUAGUUUCUUCCUUGA
rnacentral:tRNA from 1 species